rnacentral:RNase_P_RNA from 1 species
GUCUGUCGCUCUAUGACGCAUAAUGCUCAUAAAGAGGAAAGUCCGGGCAACGCAGAGCACCGCAUUUCUUAACGGGAAGCCGGCGGCGACGUCGGGGAUAAUGUGACAGAAAACAACCGCCCGCCCCUUCGCAGGGCAGGCAAGGGUGAAAAGGCGGGGUAAGAGCCCACCGGGGCGCCUGGCGACAGGCGCCGCCGCACAUCCUGCGGGUUGCAAGGUCAAGUAUACCGGCAUCUAAGGGCUGCUCGUCCAUUGCCGGGGGGUAGGCUGCUAUAGCGCGCCGAGCAAUCGGCCGCAAAGAUAAAUGACAGACACGCCUCUUCGGAGUGCGCACAUAACCCGGCUUACAGCAUCUC